rnacentral:lncRNA from 1 species
AACAAACAAUAAAACCUCACAAUAACAAAAGCCAAAACUCCCCCCUCACUCCUCUCAUGCACCCAGAAGCCACAACCCACAAUCCUCGAGCCUCAAGCUACGUCCUCGCGCCUUACGCUGUGUCCUCACGCCUCAACCAUGUCUUCACGCCUCAAGCUAUCAUCAAUUUUGAUGCCAAUCGUCGGCCUUACUACUUUCUUCUCCGGUAUGACGCUAAUUGUUGCUAGUUGCUGCAGCAAAAAUAUACAUAUUUUGUGCUUUCUCAUACGUUAGUUAAGGUAAAUAUACGAGUCAAAGCCCAAUUUUUUCUCACUGUUCUUUAUGAUUAUGGGUUUCUACAUACACUAUUUUUCACACCUUUUCUUUUCUAGGAUUUGGACUAAUUUUCUAGAUCUAUUGCUCGCUAUUAGGUUUUAGUCAGUGACUUGAUCUCAACACUUUACACUUAUAUUUAGUCAUGAUCUGUUGGGGGGACUUGAAUACCCUUAAUUGGGGGAUUUCUUUAUUUGUUCUUGUCUUGGAAUUGGUGAGGAAAAGAAGGACAAAGAAGAAAGAUCAAUAUAAUAUUUUCAUUAUAGUUUAAUCAUGUCGGUUCGAUUUGCAUUUCUUUUUGUUAAGAUUAUGUUUAUUUUUUUACUCUCUCAGUGACAUUGUUUUAAUUGAAUAGUGAUAACAAAUUCGAUUAUGUAAGUUUAUUUUGUCCAAACUUCGGCAUGAUUUCUUUUUACUUCUUGUUUGUAUACAAGUAAAAGAUUAGCAAUUUGAGGCCUUUAAUACUGCGUAUGGAAUUAACAUAUGUGUUUGUUAUGUCAAUUUUUGUUGCUUUAAUUUUUUUCUUCUUUAUUGUUUAUGGUGGAAUGAUUUGGGAUUAAAGGCAUUGCUUUACUACUCAAACUGUGGCUGAUCUUCUAGUCAAUGGGAUGGUUGAUUUGCCUUUGGAGCAAACUGGUAAAGGCAUAGCUGAAUGUGAAUUUCUUCAUUGGUUUGUACAAGAGGUGAGUAAAUAACCUUUCAUGUUGUACCAUGAUUAAUCAACACAGUUGCUGUUGGAAUACACGUGCACCAAACAUCAGCAGAUUCGUGCACCAGAUUCUAGAGACUUCCAUCUCAACGUAUCAGAUUCCAAAUGGUUGUGUCCAGCUGUCUUAGUUGUUAGUUAGUUAGUGAUUGGUUUGUUAAUUAGCUAAUUAGUUUAGCCAUUUUGCUCUAUAAAUACAGCACCAUGUAUGCAUUUUUAGUCUAUUGGAAUGUGGAUUUCCAAUCCCUCCUAUGGAGGUUUCAUUUUCUCCUUCUAUGGAGUUUCUAUUCCUCCUUUAAUGGAGUGUUUCAUUUUCUCUUUUUAUGGAGAUUUUUUCUCCUCCUUUCAUGGAGUUUGUCCUUUUAUGGAGUUUGUCUUUCUCCUUAAUGGAGUUUAAUAAACUGUUUUUCCUCCAAUGAUUUUUAAUAGUUGCUGGUUCUAUGAAUGAAAUAACACAUGAACUAGUAUGAACAUCUGGUACAAACAUCUCAUUAUGUUUUACCUUCUUGAAUCCAUUCCAAAAUGUAUUGUCUUCUUGGUGAAGUAAGGAUUUCUUAUUUAAGUGGUUUGAUUUAGUUUCACGAGCCAUAACAAAGAGUCUUCAAGUAUAUUAAAGAUCAAUUUUAGGUUUUCAUGCAGCUAAGAUGAGGGAAGCCUUAUUUUUGGGGUCGGGGUGUUAAUCUAUUUGUAAGCUCAGUAGUUAAUCCACGUUUGGAUUACUCAGAGAGAGAGAGAGAGAGACUUAGGCCCCGUUUGGGAGGGAUUUUGAGAAUUGAUUUUUUGACCGUUAGAAGAAAAGUGGGAUCCACCUGUGAGAGGAGAAGUCAACAAUUACGGCUGGAAUAGUGAAAUAACGGUCAAAAAAUCAAUUUUUUGUAACAAAAAAUCCCUCCCAAACAGGCCCUUACUAAAUGGAAUGUUGUCUCUUCCUUUAUAAUAACUUGAGAAGCGUAUUAUGAAAGAAACGGCAAUCAUGUUGACUUUUCAUCUAGUUGCAUAUGUGGUAGAAUGAUUAGACUGUUUUGUUAUGAAGUUUAGAUGAUUCUGCUUAUAUAGUUACAAUAGUUCUAUGGUUUGAAAGAUGCUUCAUAAUUUAUCUUCUAAUCGGUAUUGUUCUAAAAUCUCAAAUGCAGUGAGGGAAGUUUCUUCAAUGCUAUAAUGAGCUUCCCCCAAAAUUAACCGAACAGUCCUCCAACAGUGAGAUUUACCUCGAAGAUGUGGCAUCCUAAUGGUUUAUAUUUUCACCUAUAAGAAUGCUUUGGUACCUUCAUCAAUGUUCUGUAUUUUUUAGUGCAUUUAUUUGGAACUUAAACAUGAUAUGCAAUUUAUUUAGAUGGGAAGGUUUGUAUUUCUAUUCUUCAUCCUCUUGGCGAUGAUCCAAAUGGCUAUGAGCUUGCUAUAAAGCGUUGGUCACCUGUCCAUACGGUAUGUUAGAAAAUAAUUCCUUCAUCUUACUGUGGUGUAUUAUUAAACUAGUUGGAUCUCGUCGGCUACUAACAAUUUUGGUCAUUUGUAAUCAAAGUGCCAUUUUGGUUCGUAGGCAAGUCUUGCAUAAUUUCACCUUUAAAGAUACUAUGUGCUAUUAACUUGGCUAUUUUGCUUGAAAAUAUUUAUCACAUUAAAUUCAACAACUUUCUUUCAUUUGAAAUUAAGCGGAUACUAAAUAUGUCACGGACCUUUUUCUGCUUUCCAAUCCUUUUAAGCAUUGG